rnacentral:pre_miRNA from 1 species
CAUUCUUGUAGCAGUAUCACCUUAGCAAGGUGAUACUACUACAAGAAUGCA